rnacentral:rRNA from 1 species
AGAGCGAACGCUGGCGGCAGGCUUAACACAUGCAAGUCGAGCGGAUGUAGCAAUACAUCAGCGGCAGACGGGUGAGUAACACGUGGGAACGUGCCUUUUGGUUCGGAACAACACAGGGAAAACUUGUGCUAAUACCGGAUAAGCCCUUACGGGGAAAGAUUUAUCGCCGAAAGAUCGGCCCGCGUCUGAUUAGCUAGUUGGUGAGGUAAUGGCUCACCAAGGCGACGAUCAGUAGCUGGUCUGAGAGGAUGAUCAGCCACAUUGGGACUGAGACACGGCCCAAACUCCUACGGGAGGCAGCAGUGGGGAAUAUUGGACAAUGGGCGCAAGCCUGAUCCAGCCAUGCCGCGUGGGUGAUGAAGGCCCUAGGGUUGUAAAGCCCUUUCGGCGGGAAGAUAAUGACGGUACCGCAGAAGAAGCCCCGGCUAACUUCGUGCCAGCAGCCG